GCCGGCGCAGCAGCCGGUCCAGCCGGGCCUGCAGGGUGCCCAGCUCGGGCUCCAGGGUCCGCAGGGAAGGGCCUCCUGAACGUCGCAGCCACUGCACAUGCCUCAGACGGAGCCGGCUGCCUCGCAGGGCUCACGCCGCCGCCGCUCUCGGAGGAGGGCACGGAAGGAAAAGUUGGAAAAGUUGAAAAGGGAAAGGGGGGGGGGGUGGUCGGAGAGGGGCUGGUGAGGUCAUUGGCGUCCCCUCCCUCCACCUCCUCGGCCGGCCGCCGGGGCAGACACACGCUGCUGAGAACGGGGCCUGGCUGCAGGGCGGAGGGGGGGGGGUGCGGGUGGACCAGGGCUGGCAGAGAGAUGGGGAGAUGGGGAGCUGAAGAUGGGGGCUGGAGGGCUGGAGGUGCGAGCGCAGAGACGCUUUUAGGAAUAGAGAGAGAGGGCUGGGGAGACCCAGACCCAGGCAGGGAGGUCCAGACACACAGAGAGAUGGGCAGCAAGCAGAGAUGGAGCGUCUGAGAUGCAGAGAGAGAGGGAGACAGAGAUCUCCCUAGAGAGACAGAGACAGCCAGAGAAAACCAGCAGAGAGAGGUGAGGUCCAGGAAGCAACACAAGGUCAGCAGGAGAGAUUUGGAGAGACUCUCCCUUCAAAAAGGAAAAGAGACAGAGACAGGUGUGUCCGAAAGAGGCGAGGCAGGGCAGCAGAGGCACAAGGCAGGGUGACAGAGAUGGAGCCGCCCCCAGGGGCUGAGGUCCCCUGACAGAGGCAGAUGCCAGCAAGGGGUCAGCCAUGGGGACCAACAGAGGGGGGCCAUUCUCCCAGAGACACGCUGGAACAUGGAGACAGAGGACCAGAGGCAGAGACAGGGACCAGGGUCGAGAGACACCCAGCAGGUGUGGGACCUCAAACACGUGGCUUCACCUCGCUGUGCCUCAGUUGCUCUGUCUGUGAAAUGGGGACACCCCAGGCACCCUCCCCAAACGUCUGCACAGGGAGACAGUGAAUUCACUUCUGUAAAGUCAGCUCUCAGUAGACACGAACCAUGGCCAUUCUCACCAUUGAUAUUUUAUUAACAUAUCCAGGGACACAGAUAGAAAGAUGUGGCCCCUAGGGAGAUGGAGAUGGGGAGAUAGGGAGAGAGCUGGGGGGGGGGGGAGGUCAGGGAUGGGGACAACAUGUGCAGAGAGGCGGAGAAGCGGACAGUGGCUGGACACGCAGGGGGACACGGACUCCAGGGGACAGUGGUGCCAACACAAAUGCAGAGCACCCCCGCACGCUGACCCCAGACUGUGCUGAGCUGCCAGGGGGACCCCGGGGACGGAUGGCAGCUGGAGGCCCCCCCAUCCCCCACCACUUGGGGGGUGACUGCUGAGGCCCCCGGGGAGGUGAGGUCACAGCCCCCCACGGUGGGACAUGACCUCAUCGCCUCAGGUGAGAGCUCACUCUGCCUCUCAGUCUGCCGCGGCCACCCCUGCCAGGGCCCCCCAGGGGCCCUCCCCAGCCCCCGCGAGCGCUGGGACCCAGGCCUCUGACCACUGGGUCUCCGCCCCUCAGGGGGCCUGUUUCCGGCUGAGUCAGCGUGGGGGGCCCGAGGCUGCGUCAGUGAGGGGAGAACUGACGUAGCCCCCCCCCAGACUGGCGGGGCCAGCCAAGGUGACUCAGGCCACCAGCCUGGGGGAUGGCCUGGCCCGAGGGGGUGUGGGGGCCUGGGCCUGGGGCCAGCCUGUCGGAAGGCAGCCCCUCCAGUGACGGGGGGCAGGGCAGGGGAGGUGCCAGCCCCCACCCGCUGCUUCAGCCUAGGAUGCCUAGGAUCGCAAGACUGUCCCCCCCAGCUUCCUCCCUCUCUCUGGAGGGUCCAGACCCCCAGCCUCCUCCUCCUCCUCCACGUCCAGGAGCCCAGCUCCCAGCCCCCUCCUCCCACAGACCCAGGUGUCCUGUCCAGGAGUGAAACCCUUGUUUCUCGAAAGACGGAGAGAACUUGUAGGCAUGCUACAAUCUGGGGAGUGCAGUCUGGAGUCCCGGGUAUGGGUCAGCGGUCCGCGCCCCAGCACCAGCUCCCUCCUCAGCCCCCACCCUGAGGGUGUGGGAGUCAUCUCCCCCCACCCUCAGGGUAGGAGGCGGGCUGCAGGGGCCUGGUGGGUGCAGGCUGGGAGGGUGGGAGUUCUCA